AUACGUAGGGGGCAAGCGUUAUCCGGAUUUACUGGGUGUAAAGGGAGCGUAGACGGUAUGGCAAGCCCGAUGUGAAAACCCGGAGCUCAACUCCGGGAUUGCAUUAGGAACUGUCAAACUAGAGUGUCGGAGAGGCAAGUGGAAUUCCUAGUGUAGCGGUGAAAUGCGUAGAUAUUAGGAGGAACACCAGUGGCGAAGGCGGCUUGCGGGACGAUGACUGACGUUGAGGCUCGAACGCGUGGGGAGCAAACAGGAUUAGAUACCCUGGUAGUCCACGCCGUAAACGAUGACUACUAGGUGUCGGGUACCACAGGUAUUCGGUGCCGCAGCAAACGCAUUAAGUAGUCCACCUUGGGAGUACGUUCGCAAGAAUGAAACUCAAAUGAAUUGACGGGG
rnacentral:rRNA from 1 species